rnacentral:rRNA from 1 species
CCUACGGGGGGCAGCAGUAGGGAAUCUUCGGCAAUGGGGGCAACCCUGACCGAGCAACGCCGCGUGAGUGAAGAAGGUUUUCGGAUCGUAAAGCUCUGUUGUAAGUCAAGAACGGGUGUGAGAGUGGAAAGUUCACACUGUGACGGUAGCUUACCAGAAAGGGACGGCUAACUACGUGCCAGCAGCCGCGGUAAUACGUAGGUCCCGAGCGUUGUCCGGAUUUAUUGGGCGUAAAGCGAGCGCAGGCGGUUUGAUAAGUCUGAAGUUAAAGGCUGUGGCUCAACCAUAGUUCGCUUUGGAAACUGUCAAACUUGAGUGCAGAAGGGGAGAGUGGAAUUCCAUGUGUAGCGGUGAAAUGCGUAGAUAUAUGGAGGAACACCGGUGGCGAAAGCGGCUCUCUGGUCUGUAACUGACGCUGAGGCUCGAAAGCGUGGGGAGCGAACAGGAUUAGAUACCCGGGUAGUC